ACUUAGGUAGUUUAAGAAAAUAUUGGUCUGUGGAGCCAGAGAUGCGUGAGACGCCUUGAGUA
rnacentral:tRNA from 1 species